UUAAAUGGCCGCGGUAUAUUAACCGUGCUAAGGUAGCAUAAUCAUUAGUUUUUUAAUUGAAAGCUGGAAUGAAGGGUUGGAUAAAAAAAUAACUGUCUCUAUAAAAAUGAUUGAAUUUUAUUUUUAAGUUAAAAAGCUUAAAUUUUUUUAAAAGACGAGAAGACCCUAUAGAGUUUAAUAUAAAAUAUAAUUAUUUUUUUUAGUAUUUAUUUAAAUAAUUAAAUUUUAUAUUUAGUUGGGGUGAUUGAAAAAUUAAAUAAACUUUUUUUGUAUAAAAAUAUAUUUUUAUAAAUAAUUGAUCCAAAAAUUUUGAUUAUAAGAUAAAAUUACCUUAGGGAUAACAGCGUAAUUUUAUUAGAGAGUU
rnacentral:rRNA from 1 species